CCUACGGGGGGCUGCAGUCAAGAAUCUUCCACAAUGGCCGCAAGGCUGAUGGAGCAAUGCCGCGUGCAGGAAGACGCCUUUCGGGGUGUAAACUGCUUUUAUAUGGGAAGAAUUUGUGACGGUACCAUAUGAAUAAGAGGUUGCUAACUCUGUGCCAGCAGCAGCGGUAAUACAGAGACCUCAAGCGUUAUCCGGAUUUAUUGGGCGUAAAGCGUCCGCAGGUUGUUUUAUAAGUCAAUUGUUAAAUCUUCGGGCUCAACCCGAAGACUGCAGUCGAUACUGUAAAACUAGAGGCUGGGAGAGGCAAGCGGAAUUCUCGGUGUAGUCGUAAUAAGCGCUGAUAUCGAGAGGAACACCAAAGGCGAAGGCAGCUUGCUGGAACAUGCCUGACACUCAGGGACGAAAGCGUGGGUAGCGAAUCGGAUUAGAUACCCGGGUAGUC
rnacentral:rRNA from 1 species